rnacentral:lncRNA from 1 species
ACUCUUUAGGAAUAGCAACCAUUAAGCCCUAGAUCUGGGCUUGAUUCUAGAUACCGCGUGUCCCCCUUCUAGGGAAAGGGGGCAUGCAUGAUGCCUUGGGCGGCAUGCAAAACCAAGGAGAGAGGCAGAGAGAUAGUGGAAUCAAAGGCGAGUCGACUCGGUCCCAGUAAGAGUCAACUCAAUUUUCAGACAAAAGCUGCAU